rnacentral:lncRNA from 1 species
UACAUUUGAUUUCGUCUGUUUUUGAUCAAGCUUCUGGUUUUGAGGUUUGUUUACUGUGAUUAUGAAGAAUCUGUGACGAUUUGGAACAUACUAAGGUAGAGAUCAAUGGAUUGUGAACUCAGUGUGGUUUGAUAUAUUUGAUUUGAACAUACUCUGAUUUGAUGCAUCUCAUAUCAAAUUUAUGUGAUCCUCUUUAGAUUUUGAGUGUUACUCAAGCCUGUUUUUCUUAAGCUAAUGAUACUCUUUGCAUGAUGUUUUUUCAGCCUCUGCUUCAUCCACAGUUAAGAAAGUUGCUGCUUCUCCUAAUGCACCAAAAACUGGUAUGAUCUUCUUUGUUAUGAUACUUGAUUUUGCUACAAUGAAGUGAUGAGGUCAAUCGUUUUCUUGUUUAAUUCUGAUUUUAUGGUAGAGAUCAAUGGAUCAUGAUCCCAGUGAUUGGUGUAUUUGAUUCGAACAUA